rnacentral:lncRNA from 1 species
AUCAAUGCCGGAAAGGAUUCUAUCCUUUGAAAGUGCCCAGUUUCUCAUUUAAUUUUCGUCUUCAUUGUUGCAUAAUCCAUUUAGACUUUCAGUUAUGUGUUUCAACGUAUCAACUUUUGAUCAAGUUGUUUUGAACAAGCUUAUCAAAGUACAUGCUAUAGCUAGUAAUAAGCAGUUAACUUUGUACAGAACAAUUCUUGUACUCUUAUUAUGACAUCCUAUUAUACUCUCUUCUCCUUA